rnacentral:rRNA from 1 species
GACGAACGCUGGCGGAGGGAUGAACACAUGCAAGUCGAACGCUGAAGCACCAGCUUGCUGGUGUGGAUGAGUGGCGAACGGGUGAGUAAUACGUGAGUAACCUGCCCUUGACUCUGGGAUAAGCCCGGGAAACUGGGUCUAAUACUGGAUGCUACAUGUCACCGCAUGGUGGUGUGUGGAAAGGGUUUACUGGUCUUGGAUGGGCUCACGGCCUAUCAGCUUGUUGGGGAGGUAAUGGCUCACCAAGGCGACGACGGGUAGCCGGCCUGAGAGGGUGACCGGCCACACUGGGACUGAGACACGGCCCAGACUCCUACGGGAGGCAGCAGUGGGGAAUAUUGCACAAUGGGCGAAAGCCUGAUGCAGAGACGCCGCGUGAGGGAUGACGGCCUUCGGGUUGUAAACCGAUUGAAGCAGGGAAGAAGCCACAAGUGACGGUACCUGCAGAAGAAGCGCCGGCUAACUACGUG